GUGGUUGGAGGACUGAAUCAGUUUGAGCUCAACAUUUUAAUGGACUGGAAUAUAACAGUACAUAUUCAGAUGGAGUUAUCUUUCUAAAAUGUGUAUAGUAUGCCAAGUUAUUUAGCUACAUGAAUUUCCCACAACAGUAUAGAGAAAGUCAAAAGGAAGCAGUGGAGUGAGGUGGACAUGUUCCAAGCCAUGGAGGAGUGCAGGGCAGGGAUGGCUAUCUGCCGGGCUGCCAAGGUGCAUGGUGUACCUCGGCAGAACCUGGCGGAAGGGCUGGGCGGCCGGGUGACCAUGGUUGUUGCAGUGGACCGCCCACAUUGCUUGCACCAGAGGAUUACGAUUAUCUGGUGCAGUACUGUAUCUACUGUGCCAGCUAUUGGUUCAGCUUCACCAGACAGAGGCUGAUGAAAUACGCCGACAAACUAUGCAAGUAUUUGGUGUUUUAUGUGUUCAUGUAUGUAGAAUGCUGGGCUGACUGUUCUUAAUGUAUGUGAUGCCAAAAUAAACAUCAUCCUGGAUGGACAAUUUAUAUUCUAUUCUAGGUUUCGGCACCCAAGGGAGACAAUCACACCAUUGGGGAAGAGGUGACGGGAAAUGUUCAGGAGGAGGCCAGGCACCCUGGACGGGGGGAGCUGAGCGUGCCAUCCGUCUGACUAUGGACACCUUCUUCACUUCUUAUGAGAAGCAAUUGGAGGAGAGCGGGUUGAGGGAGAAACCCAGACAAAUCUAUAACUGCGAUGAGUCUGGGUUUUGUAGCGGCCAGAGCAGACACAGGUGCCAGAGCAGGUACAAGGGCGCAAAACACGUGAACCCGCAGGCUCCAGGGGCCAAGGAGCAUAUCACAGUGCUUUAACACAGCUGGGGAGGACCUCCCCCUAUUUAUCAUCUACCCCAAGUGUUUCCCCGGUGGCCACUACACACUGGGAGGCCCCCCCCCCCAAGCCUUGUAUGGACAGUCAAACAGUGGCUACAUCGACGGGGACCUGUUCUGGAACUUGUUUCAGCACUUUAUCAAGCAUGCUGUUGGGUUGUAAUUUGAAAUACUUGCUACACCUUAAGUUAAUGGUUAUAUGUUGGAGGAAUGUAUAUGGUCGGGUCAAUGGAGGUGGAUAUGAACCAGGGCUUGGAGAGUUACUAAGUAAGGGAAAAGGCAAUCACAUGGUCACUGAUGAGGAUGGAUAGCUGUGGAUUAGUGAGGAAUGGGGGCCGAGGUUAGGUCAGGUCACAUGAAGGGAGAAGGAACAGUUUAUUACCCACAUCACUUAACGUCCUGCCUAGCAACAAAGAUGUAGUGUUUAGAGAAAAGGAGGAGACUCCGCCUAAAAGGGGGAGGGGGGUAUAAACACUUUUGCUGAUGGAAACAUGUAUUUUUUUAUGCAGCUGUGUGACCCGGAGGGUGAAUAAACUUGCUUUGAGCUUUACUAGUCA